rnacentral:rRNA from 1 species
UAUAGAGGGUGCGAGCGUUGUCCGGAAUCACUGGGCGUAAAGGGCGCGUAGGUGGUGGCUUAAGCGUGCGGUGAAAGCUCGGAGCUCAACUCCGAGUCGGCCGUGCGAACUGGGCUCACUGGAGCAUAGUAGAGGCAGGUGGAAUUCCGGGUGUAGCGGUGGAAUGCGUAGAGAUCCGGAAGAACACCGGUGGCGAAGGCGGCCUGCUGGGCUAUGGCUGACACUGAGGCGCGACAGCGUGGGGAGCAAACAGG